rnacentral:rRNA from 1 species
CCUACGGGACGCAGCAGUGGGGAAUAUUGCACAAUGGGCGAAAGCCUGAUGCAGCAACGCCGCGUGAAGGAAGAAUGCCUUCGGGUCGUAAACUUCUGCCCUUGGGGAAGAAGAACUGACGGUACCCAAGGAGGAAGCCCCGGCUAACUACGUGCCAGCAGCCGCGGUAAUACGUAGGGGGCAAGCGUUAUCCGGAUUUACUGGGUGUAAAGGGAGCGUAGACGGCAGGGCAAGUCUGGAGUGAAAGGCGGGGGCUCAACCCCCGGACUGCUCUGGAAACUGCCAGGCUGGAGUGCAGGAGAGGG